UACGUAGGUGGCAAGCGUUAUCCGGAUUUAUUGGGCGUAAAGGGAACGCGGGCGGUCUUUUAAGUCUGAUGUGAAAGCCUUCGGCUUAACCGGAGUAGUGCAUUGGAAACUGGGAGACUUGAGUGCAGAAGAGGAGAGUGGAACUCCAUGUGUAGCGGUGAAAUGCGUAGAUAUAUGGAAGAACACCAGUGGCGAAAGCGGCUCUCUGGUCUGUAACUGACGCUAAGGUUCGAAAGCGUGGGUAGCAAACAGG
rnacentral:rRNA from 1 species